UGAGGAGGCGAUAAGCGUUUGGAUGUAUUUUUCUCCUGAAGCUAAGCCUUUGGAAGUUUUGUUUUGCUCACAAAGUAUUCUGUCGAAUAUGUGCUUUCGAUCUCCAUUUCUUUACAUUUUUAGUGUGUGCUUUUAUCAGUUUUGGAUCGAUCGAUAAUCAAUCUUUGAAGUUUUAAUUUGGAGUUUUUGUAAUUUUGUUCUUCUAUUUUAGCAAAUGAACUCACUUGGUAAUGACUUGUAACAAUUAUUGGGGCUUCUGGAGUUGACUGGACAUAGGUUCAUAGGAAUAGAACUUGUUGCUAUUUAUUCACAUUUUUGUCCAUCUUUUCCUGUUCCUCAGAUUUGAUUAUGGAUUAUUGUAGCAUUCUAAAAUCGAGUAAGGUUGAUAAUUGCUUAGGUAUCGAAAGCUAUUUAGUGUUUACUCAAAUUUGUAACUUCCAGGGGACCUUAUUACAAUAUUGUUUUGUUAAAAGGAAUUUGGAAUAUUGUGAUUGUUAAAAAUAUUAAAAGUAGUUGUAACAUUUCAAAAGCUAUGACGUUAAAACUUUUAGUAGAUGCUUGUGCUAUUUUCGGUUAUUAAUCCAUUUAUAUUUUGGAGAUAGUUUACUAGUAUGUACAAAUAUCAAACAUGAGCAUACAUUUUCAAGGGGUCGUUCAUUUUUAAGGAUUAAUUUAAGAUAGAUGAAAAUAUAUAGGUUAAUUAAUGUUUUAUUAAAUAAAUUGAAAUUUUAGGAUAUUUGAAUGCCAUUGAUAAUAUCUAUGAUUGGAGCUAAUUUCAAGUGAUUUAUAUUCAAAUGAAAGGGUAAGGCUAGAGAAAUUCUAAUACUAUAUCUGAUCAAUUAUGAAUAGUGAAUGCCACUUAAAUAUUUUAAAUAAAGUUCACAUAAUUUUUACAAUGAGGCAAAUGGAGAUAUAUAGCCAUUUUGGAAUAGAAAUGAGGAAUACUAUGUAUUGUAGUAAGUGUCUGUGGCUACGUGUUGCCUUAUUUUUAUAAUAAAACCCUCCUCCUCUCUAUUUCAAAUGAGUAAAUUUUUCAGAAUUCUCUCUUUUUCACUGCUUCCUUUAACAAUAACUUGAAAACAGGAAAAAUAAUUCAUGAGCAUCAUAAUCUACUGAUUGUAGUCUGUACAAAUUAAUGUUUGUUAAUCUGUCAUUAUCAAGGAAGAAACCAAGAUUUCAAGAAAACAAAUUUCUGGUGGCAAAGGAGGUGGCCAUCCUAGAACUUGUCUCAUUGCAAAAAGAGAGAAUAACAAUAAACACGCAUGGGUUGGUUUGUAUUUAAAAUUUGUAUAAAAUUAUUAUCUACUGAAUUAAAAUUUUGGUCUCAAAAUAUAUAGGGAUUGCAGAAAAGAGAAUUGGAGGACUUAAUGAAAUAUGUAAUAAGUCAAGUCGGUAGGAAUUGUCCUAUUAGAUAUGAAAUAUAGUUGAAUUCAGUAGUCAAUUAUUUGCAGCUUCAAAAGCAACAUACCACUGAGCUUAAACAGGUAAAAAAGUGGACCCUAACUCAUGCAAUCCUCAUUGUGACAAAGAGAAUUUCUUGUGGACCUUAAUCAAUAAUAGCUGCUUCACAUAUACUCCCUCCGUCCCGCCCAAGAUGCUACAUAUUCCUUUUUGGGUCGUCCCAACGAAGAUGCUACAUUUCUAUAUUUGGCAAAAAUAAGGAAUUUUAAACACUUAAUUAACACUUAUUAAGUAUUUCUUUAUUACAUUCUCUCUCAUACUUUAUCAAUUUAUUACCUUCUCUUUCUUACUUUAUCACUUUAUUACUUUCUCUCUCCUACUUUAUCAUUUUAAUAUUACACACUUAAAAUAUUAAUCUACAACUCCUUAAAUCCCGUGCCGAGAAGCAAAUGUAGCGUCUUGGCCGGGACGGAGGGAGUNGUCCGAGAGCGCUCAAGGAGAUGCCGCUGCUAUGGGAGGUAGAGGUCGAGGAAGAGGUGGCUACGGUGGUCGUGGAAUGAGGAGGCGAUAAGCGUUUGGAUGUAUUUUUCUCCUGAAGCUAAGCCUUUGGAAGUUUUGUUUUGCUCACAAAGUAUUCUGUCGAAUAUGUGCUUUCGAUCUCCAUUUCUUUACAUUUUUAGUGUGUGCUUUUAUCAGUUUUGGAUCGAUCGAUAAUCAAUCUUUGAAGUUUUAAUUUGGAGUUUUUGUAAUUUUGUUCUUCUAUUUUGGCUAAUGAACUCACUUGGUAAUGACUUGUAACAAUUAUUGGGGCUUCUGGAGUUGACUGGACAUAGGUUCAUAGGAAUAGAACUUGUUGCUAUUUAUUCACAUUUUUGUCCAUCUUUUCCUGUUCCUCAAAUUUGAUUAUAGAUUAUUGUAGCAUUCUAAAAUCGAGUAAGGUUGAUAAUUGCUUAGGUAUCGAAAGCUAUAUAGUGUUUACUCAAAUUUGUAACUUCCAGGGGACCUUAAAAUGUUUCAGUUAUU
rnacentral:lncRNA from 1 species